rnacentral:rRNA from 1 species
UACGUAGGGUGCGAGCGUUAAUCGGAAUUACUGGGCGUAAAGUGUGCGCAGGCGGCCGCGCAAGUCGAGUGUGAAAGCCCCGGGCUUAACUUGGGAAUUGCGCUCGAAACUACGUGGCUGGAGUGUGGCAGAGGAAGGUGGAAUUCCACGUGUAGCGGUGAAAUGCGUAGAGAUCCGGAAGAACACCGGUGGCGAAGGCGGCCUGCUGGGCUAUGGCUGACACUGAGGCGCGACAGCGUGGGGAGCAAACAGG